rnacentral:rRNA from 1 species
UACGAAGGGGGCUAGCGUUGCUCGGAAUUACUGGGCGUAAAGGGCGCGUAGGCGGGUCGUUUAGUUAGAGGUGAAAGCCCAGGGCUCAACCCUGGAAUUGCCUUUAAUACUGGCGGCCUUGAGUAUGGCAGAGGUGUGUGGAACUCCGAGUGUAGAGGUGAAAUUCGUAGAUAUUCGGAAGAACACCAGUGGCGAAGGCGACACACUGGGCCAUUACUGACGCUGAGGCGCGAUAGCGUGGGGAUCAAACAGG